rnacentral:rRNA from 1 species
UGAACGCUAGCGGCAGGCCUAACACAUGCAAGUCGAGGGGUAACAGGGAAAAGCUUGCUUUUCCGCUGACGACCGGCGCACGGGUGCGUAACGCGUAUGCAACCUACCUUUUACAGGAGUAUAGCCCAGAGAAAUUUGGAUUAAUCCUCCAUAAUAUUUUAUUCAUGCAUAUGAUAAAGAUUAAAGUUUCGGCGGUAAAAGAUGGGCAUGCGUUUUAUUAGCUAGUAGGUGAGGUAAUGGCUCACCUAGGCCACGAUAAAUAGGGGCCCUGAGAGGGGGAUCCCCCACACUGGUACUGAGACACGGACCAGACUCCUACGGGAGGCAGCAGUGAGGAAUAUUGGACAAUGGA